CCCUUAGACGUUCUGGGCCGCACGCGCGCUACACUGACCAGUGCAACAAGCAUCCGUCCUUGGCCGACAGGCCCGGGCAAUCUUUGAACGCUGGUCGUGAUGGGGAUAGACUUUUGCAAUUUUUGGUCUUCAACGAGGAAUUCCCAGUAAACGCAAGUCAUCAACUUGCAUUGAUUACGUCCCUGCCCUUUGUACACACCGCCCGUCGCACCUACCGAUUGAAUGGUCCGGUGAAGCCUCCGGAUUGGCGCGCACCUCGGUGCCGCCGAGAAGUUGGCUAAACCUUACCAUUUAGAGGAAGGUGAAGUCGUAACA
rnacentral:rRNA from 1 species